rnacentral:rRNA from 1 species
UACGGAGGGUGCGAGCGUUGUCCGGAAUCACUGGGCGUAAAGGGCGCGUAGGCGGCUCGAUAAGGCUUGCGUGAAAGUCCGGGGCUCAACUCCGGAACUGCCUUUAAGACUGCAUCGCUUGAAUCCGGGAGAGGUGAGUGGAAUUCCGAGUGUAGAGGUGAAAUUCGUAGAUAUCGGGAGGAACACCAGUGGCGAAGGCGGCGACCUGGACAGAUAUUGACGCUGAGGCACGAAAGCGUGGGGAGCAAACAGGG